rfam:Schistosoma haematobium scaffold9_50, whole genome shotgun sequence.
AUCCAGCUGACGAGUCCUAGAUAGAAUGAAACGCGCCUCUUGUAU